rnacentral:tRNA from 3 species
GGGCUAUUAGCGCAGGCAGGUAGCGCAGCAGGCUUUUAACCUGAAAUUUGUUAGAAUUUUUCUAAUAAAAAGGAAGGUCAGGGGUUCAAUUCCCCUAUAGCCCG